GUGCCAGUGGACAAAUUUAGCAGUGGCUGUGAUUUAGGAGGCUUUGUAUGAAACCUGCCACUCCUCUCUGCUCAACCCCUCUUCUGCUGCCUCACUCUGCCACUCUCUACUGUCAGUGCCAGGGGACAGGAUAACCACAAUCAUCCCUGCCGUGAGAUACAAGUAUGCGCUCCCCCUGAGUAAACAACAUCAGAUGACAAAGGACAACGCGAUAAGAAUCACUCAUAGCCAGGGCAAGUCAUGUUACUGGCCUGGAGGAGAAGGAAACAAGAGGAAGUAGGAAUGAAGGCUUGAUGCAAAAAACAGAAAACUGUCCAGGGAGUGAAGGUGUAGACAGAGCUUAGAGGAGGGAAAAAAGGCACCAGGAAGACAGGAAGGAUGAAAGAGGAAAGCGAUCACUGGAUGGGAGAGAGAUGUCAACAGCUGAACAUGCUGACCACUGACACGGAGGAGAGAGAUUUCACUGAGCUAUUUUGAUAGAGCUCCUUAUUUUAGAUCAUUCCUCCCUCAGAACACUUAAAGGCUCAUUUGGUCCAUUUGUUCGUCAGUCAGCUCACAAAUCCACUUGCCUCUCUGGCAGCGGCGGUGACAUUUCAAGAGAUCUGGCGAUAGAUCUGCACCACAACUCUAUCAUAUGACUGCCUCAUGGCACGGUGCAGUUACGUGUGGUCUUUGGGGCUUUGCCAGCAUCCAAUAAUGGCAAACCAGCACAUAAAAUUAUAUAGACCGAUAUCUAACACAAGGUUAUCAAAAGAAAUGUGUUGUAAGUUUUGCCUCAAAGCUCAAAUUGUUUUAAAGACUGUUGAAAAAAAGACACUGUAUAAUUCCUUGAAUAUUUAACAAGGCUUUACAGCGCACCUCGCUUAAGCUCUCAGGAAAUGAAAAGCAAUGUGUAAAUAUAAACACUGUGCAUGCAUCCCUGUGUGUGCGUAUAAUACUUUAUUAUUGAUAAGAAGAGUGAGGCAGUAAAAUUAAAUUAACCAUGAUUUUUGUG